rnacentral:rRNA from 1 species
AUAUCAAUAAGCGGAGGAAAAGAAACUAACAAGGAUUCCCCUAGUAACUGCGAGUGAAGCGGGAAGAGCUCAAAUUUAAAAUCUGGCGCCUUCGGCGUCCGAGUUGUAACCUAGAGAAGCGUUUUCCGCGUCGGAUCGUGUACAAGUCCCUUGGAACAGGGCGUCAUAGAGGGUGAGAAUCCCGUUCUUGACACGACUGCCGAGGCUGUGUGAUGCGCUCUCAAAGAGUCGAGUUGUUUGGGAAUGCAGCUCAAAAUGGGUGGUAAAUUCCAUCUAAAGCUAAAUAUUGGCGAGAGACCGAU